GUGAAGCACUUUCGGAGUUUUGACUUUCCAUGUGAUGAAUACCUUCCUGUUUGCUUCAGUCCAGCCCGCGAUGGCACAAGAAAGAAUGUGAAACAAAGCACUGUUGGCAAAUGUAGAGGCACUAGCUAGUGUUUGGGAGGCUUCCAAGAACAUGCGUCAUCAAAUCAAACCGUAACUCAGUGUUAAAUUUUUGUGGCUUUGACAUGACACGUGAUGAUGAGGAUGGUGGUACAUGCUUUGGUUUAAUGGCUUGCUUGUUGCUGUCACUUUCAUGGCUUGUGGUGGUGGGUUAGUGUUUGAUGAAACCUCUUUUUAUUUGUUUUAAA
rnacentral:lncRNA from 1 species